AAUCAUUUAAACAAAUUAAACAUUUAAUUACUUUUAAAACCCUUUUUUUUUUUUUUUUCAAAAGAAAUAGCAGUUUUUAUUAAAUUGUAAUCCACCUUAUCCUACUAAGGCUGCACCUGGAUCUAUUUUUUUUAGUUUUUUUUUAAUUUAAAUAACCUUUUUGAAAAGGUAUUUAUACAACGGUAUACAUACUUUUAGAAGGUAAGAUAUAUCGUGGGGUAUCGUUUAUUAGGCAGAUUCCUCUGAGAGUAUAGAAUGCCGCCAAGUUCUUUAGGUUUCAAGAUAGUAACUAUUA
rnacentral:rRNA from 1 species